GUGGGGAAUAUUGGACAAUGGGCGAAAGCCUGAUCCAGCCAUGCCGCGUGUGUGAAGAAGGUCUUCGGAUUGUAAAGCACUUUAAGUUGGGAGGAAGGGCAGUAAGUUAAUACCUUGCUGUUUUGACGUUACCGACAGAAUAAGCACCGGCUAACUUCGUGCCAGCAGCCGCGGUAAUACGAAGGGUGCAAGCGUUAAUCGGAAUUACUGGGCGUAAAGCGCGCGUAGGUGGUUUUGUAAGUUGAAGGUGAAAUCCCCGGGCUCAACCUGGGAACUGCCUCCAAAACUGCAUGACUAGAGUACGGUAGAGGGUAGUGGAAUUUCCUGUGUAGCGGUGAAAUGCGUAGAUAUAGGAAGGAACACCAGUGGCGAAGGCGACUACCUGGACUGAUACUGACACUGAGGUGCGAAAGCGUGGGGAGCAAACAGGAUUAGAUACCCCGGUAGUCC
rnacentral:rRNA from 1 species